GGGUUUCCGCCCUUUAGUGCUGAAGUUAACGCAUUAAGCACUCCGCCUGGGGAGUACGGCCGCAAGGCUGAAACUCAAAAGAAUUGACGGGGGCCCGCACAAGCGGUGGAGCAUGUGGUUUAAUUCGAAGCAACGCGAAGAACCUUACCAGGUCUUGACAUCCGCUGACAACUCUGGAGACAGAGCGUUCCCUUCGGGGACAGCGUGACAGGUGGUGCAUGGUUGUCGUCAGCUCGUGUCGUGAGAUGUUGGGUUAAGUCCCGCAACGAGCGCAACCCUUGAUUCUAGUUGCCAGCAUUC
rnacentral:rRNA from 1 species